UACGAAGGGGGCUAGCGUUGUUCGGAAUCACUGGGCGUAAAGCGCACGUAGGCGGAUUGUUAAGUCGGGGGUGAAAUCCUGAGGCUCAACCUCAGAACUGCCUUCGAUACUGGCAAUCUCGAGUCCGGAAGAGGUUGGUGGAACAGCUAGUGUAGAGGUGAAAUUCGUAGAUAUUAGGAAGAACACCGGUGGCGAAGGCGGCCCACUGGCUCGAUACUGACGCUGAGGUGCGAAAGCGUGGGGAGCAAACAGG
rnacentral:rRNA from 1 species